UCCCCAGCUGCCCCUUCCCGCGCCAUGUUGCAGCGAAGCUUCUUCAGGGCGGGCCCUGACGGCGGCUGUGGGGCGGCGGCGGCCGAUUCCGCUUCUCCUCUUCUCCCCUGCCGCUGAGCAAGGGAAGGCUGCGGCGUGAGGACAUGGCUACGGACCGGCAGACCCCCCUGUGCCGGGGGAGGAGGAGGAAGCCUGGCAGAAGACAAAGGGUGAAGUGAAAAAGAUUGCUGUGUCUUGAAAAAUCAAGGAGAAAGCUGUCUGACGUGGCAGACCCAGGAGGUCUUCUCAAAGACCUGAGUUACUUUUGAGAACAGGACUGAGUUCUGGAACUUGCUUCAGAUGUUGAAGAUCGUGCCUUGAGUUUUAGAAUUUCUAGGAGACCUGGCUACAGCAGAAGAAACGGUUAGCAGUGUCUGCAUUUGAAGAUUCCUAAAAGUCCAUCUUUUCUCAUACGUGGGUUCAAGCACACCACAGCCAGUGAACGUGCACGCGAUGCUGCUGGUGGUUCUGAACGUUUGCUGCGAGCUAUGUAUUCAAAUGUCAGUUUUAAAAAAAAAAAAUAGAGUUGUUCUGCUCCAACUGUUCUGCUUUUGCUGUACUCCUUUUGAAUAGCUGUAAGAGUUGUAAUCUUGCCCUUCUCCUGGCCAUCUCGGCUUUCAUUUUCACAGCCAUAUUCUAAAGCACUGCUCUUUCAAUCCAUGUUUUCUCUACCUGGUUAAGAAGCAUUUAAAAAAAAAAACCUAAAUAAAGAUGCCACCUACAGUAAGUCUGAAAUGAUUAUGCUUGUGUAUUUGUAGCACCCCAAG